UACGGGGGGGGCAAGCGUUGUUCGGAAUUACUGGGCGUAAAGGGCUCGUAGGCGGCCAACUAAGUCGGAUGUGAAAUCCCCAGGCUUAACCUGGGAACUGCAUCCGAUACUGGAUGGCUUGAAUCCGGGAGAGGGAUGCGGAAUUCCAGGUGUAGCGGUGAAAUGCGUAGAUAUCUGGAGGAACACCGGUGGCGAAGGCGGCAUCCUGGACCAAUUCUGACGCUGAGGAGCGAAAGCCAGGGGAGCAAACGGG
rnacentral:rRNA from 1 species